ACGGGAGGCAGCAGUGGGGGAUAUUGCACAAUGGGGGAAACCCUGAUGCAGCGACGCCGCGUGAGUGAUGAAGUAUUUCGGUAUGUAAAGCUCUAUCAGCAGGGAAGAAAAUGACGGUACCUGACUAAGAAGCACCGGCUAAAUACGUGCCAGCAGCCGCGGUAAUACGUAUGGUGCAAGCGUUAUCCGGAUUUACUGGGUGUAAAGGGAGCGUAGGUGGCAUGGUAAGUCAGAUGUGAAAGCACGAGGCUCAACUUCGCGUCUGCAUUUGAAACUGCUGUUCUUGAGUGCUGGAGAGGCUAACGGAACUCCUAGUGUAGCGGUGAAAUGCGUAGAUAUUAGGAAGAACACCAGUGGCGAAGGCGGUUAGCUGGACAGUAACUGACGCUGAGGCGCGAAAGCGUGGGUAGCAAACAGGAUUAGAUACCCUGGUA
rnacentral:rRNA from 1 species